ACUGCAUAAUCGCAGGCCUUCUCAACCAGGCUCCCAACAUCUCGACCACAUCUCAGCGAAGGACUUACCCUUUCUCCAGCACAGAGGGGAAAGAGAUCUCAAUAAGAAGAGGCUUGCAGAGGCAAAAACUUCAUCGCCACAGAUCGCGGUAGGUAGCUUCAAUUAUUGGAGACUGGCCCUCUAUUAUUAGCUGUAUCGUGCCAGUCUCCACAUGCAAGACCUGUGCACACCGAAAAUUCACAGACUUUUGGCACCCAGUGGAAAUGAUCUUUCUUGUUGCCAGUAGGGAUUCUUGUGGGUUAAUUAGCCUCGAUCAAUGGAGGACCGGAGAAGAAACAACAGCAAGUGACUCAGAUGUAGGAAGGAGAUUGUAUCUUGUCUCCUAUGGUAGAUCAUCCCUCUUCUCUCCUUUAGGGGAUCAUCAUCUCCCAGUCUUAAUGGUCUGUGAUAGAAUAGAGAAUGAAG
rnacentral:lncRNA from 1 species